GGCUAAGUUUCCUUUGCUUUUCUCUCCAAGUCUUGGCCGACCAACACACUUGCAUUCUCUGAAUUUUUUCACAUGAAUUCUCAUCUAAACUCUUAAUCUCUCAUCUUUUUCCAUAUAUAUACCUAGUUCUAAGUCACUUGGUUUUGGUUUGGAGCUAAGGAAAUACUAGACAAGCUAGACUAUCCAAAGAAAAAAAGGCUGAGCAAAGGAGGUAAAAGGAUAGAGGUCACCCAAAGUUCAAUCCAAGGUCAUCAAGAGGUGUAUGGUCACCUCUAAUAUGUUUAUGCUUGGGUUUUGUUGAAUCUGCCAUGUUUUAAUUGUUUGAUGUAUUUUAAUUAAUUAUUUCAACUUUGGUAAUGUUUUAUUUUAUGGUAGAUCAUACAUGCAUAAGGGUUUUGAAGUUUGUCAGUGAUGGAAUCCAACAUUCCAUAGGCAAUAUCUUGAUUUUGUAAGAAAAUGUUUAAGACUUGAAUUCCAAAGGGUCAAGAAAAUUUUAUAUGAAUCUGAUUAUGGAUUUUCUUGGUUC